AAAUGAAAUGGUUUUGUUAUUCAUUUCUAUUUUGGUAUGAAGUUUCUAAUUAUGACAUUUAUAAUAUGAAAAUAGCAUAAAGAAAUUGGAGUGGAGCUAGACCGUGUAGACUUAUAUAUAAUUACUUAUAAACGCAGAGACGGGGAUCCUGUAGAUGACAUUGCAUGAGCUAUGAUUGUAUGUAUUAUUUAUAUUUUUUAAUUAAAAUAAUAUUCAAAUAUUAUCUUUUAAAUAUAAUCAUACUUAUUUAAAGUAACAUACUUGUUUGUAAAUUGCAAGAUAAAAUUGAGAGAAAAAAAUCAGGAUCCAGUACCUCCCAAAACACGAGUGAGAAUAUCACUUGGGAUAAUGACAUUUUUCCUCAAGUGAAGAAAAAAGAUAAACGUGGACGUGUUUUUGGGUUAGGAUUGCUUCCUACAACUUUUUCAGCUUAUUGUUUCCCUGGAGAAAUUGGGACAAGUUCUGAACAUGAUAAAAGGGUGCUUUCAACGAAAAAUAAAGUUGAUACGAUGCAAACCUUAAUUGAAAAACUUGUGUCAACCAUUCAAGAUUUACGUCAUGAGUUUGAUAUGGAAGAUUGUACACUCCCUCCUUCACAGUCAAUGGAACAGGUACUCUGUACUUUUAAUGGUCAAAAUGAGUCACCACAACAAGGAAAUAACUCAGAAACUCAAAUAUAGAGCUUGGGAGGCUUGGGCUCAAAGAAGGAGCACUUAAAAACUAGUGGAGUUUGAUAGUUUUUUUUUUUUUACCAUACAAUUUGAAUUCUGAAAGUAUGAUGGAGUUUAAUUUUUUUAUAUAAGAUUGUAGAAUUUUUUAUUUUGGAUACAAUUGAUUGGGAUGAUGAUCAUGGAUUUUAUUUGGUUGAUAAAGAGGAUUUAUACAUUUAUGUAUUUUUUUUUAAUAUAUAAGUUACUAUAUUGUGUAUUGGAUGGAUUAUAUAGGUUCAAUAAACAUUCGUAAU